rnacentral:ncRNA from 22 species
CUUUCCCCUUUUGCUUACCUGCCAGCCAGCCGACCUGAAUACCCAAAGGUUCCAGCCAUCGCCGGAAUGUAUUUGCAUGCUGUUCUGCCAGUAGUUCAGUCGGUGCCAUCAAGGCGACCUGUUUACCAUGUGCAAUGGCACGCAACGCAGCUAAUGCGGCAACCAGCGUUUUUCCUGAACCUACAUCGCCUUGAAUCAGUCGCAUCAUGGGAACAUCUUUUGCCAGAUCCUGUUCAAUUUCUGAGACAACCCGUU